rnacentral:rRNA from 1 species
UACGUAGGGUGCAAGCGUUGUCCGGAAUUAUUGGGCGUAAAGAGCUUGUAGGCGGUUUGUCGCGUCUGCUGUGAAAUUUCGGGGCUCAACCCCGAACUUGCAGUGGGUACGGGCAGACUAGAGUGUGGUAGGGGAGACUGGAAUUCCUGGUGUAGCGGUGAAAUGCGCAGAUAUCAGGAGGAACACCGGUGGCGAAGGCGGUUCUCUGGGCCUUACCUGACGCUGAGGAGCGAAAGCAUGGGGAGCAAACAGG